CCUACGGGUGGCAGCAGUGGGGAAUAUUGGGCAAUGGGCGAAAGCCUGACCCAGCAACGCAGCGUGAAGGAAGAAGGCUUUCGGGUUGUAAACUUCUUUUAUUGAGGAAGAAAAAACUGACGGUACUCAAUGAAUAAGCCACGGCUAACUACGUGCCAGCAGCAGCGGUAAUACGUAGGUGGCAGGCGUUAUCCGGAUUUACUGGGUGUAAAGGGCGUGUAGGCGGGACUGGAAGUCAGAUGUGAAAGUCAUGGGCUCAACCCAUGGCCUGCAUUUGAAACUGUAGUUCUUGAGUGAUGGAGAGGCAGGCGGAAUUCCGUGUGUAGCGGUGAAAUGCGUAGAUAUACCGAGGAACACCAGUUGCGAAGGCGGCCUGCUGGACAUUAACUGACGCUGAUGCACGAAAGCGUGGGUAUCAAACAGGAUUAGAUACCCGGGUAGUC
rnacentral:rRNA from 1 species